rnacentral:rRNA from 1 species
GACGAACGCUGGCGGCGUGCUUAACACAUGCAAGUCGAACGGAAAGGCCCCCUUGGGGGUACUCGAGUGGCGAACGGGUGAGUAACACGUGAGUAACCUGCCCUUGACUUCGGGAUAACUUCAGGAAACUGGGGCCAAUACCGGAUAGGAAUCCUUGCUGCAUGGUGGGGGUUGGAAAGCUUCGGCGGUUUUGGAUGGACUCGCGGCUUAUCAGCUUGUUGGUGGGGUAGUGGCUUACCAAGGCUUUGACGGGUAGCCGGCCUGAGAGGGCGACCGGCCACAUUGGGACUGAGAUACGGCCCAGACUCCUACGGGAGGCAGCAGUGGGGAAUAUUGCACAAUGGGCGGAAGCCUGAUGCAGCAACGCCGCGGGCGGGAUGACGGCCUUCGGGUUGUAAACCGCUUUCAGCAGGGGCGAAGCUUGUGGUGACGGUACCUGCAGAAGAAGCACCGGCUAACUACGUG